GACGAACGCUGGCGGCACGCCUAACACAUGCAAGUCGAACGGAGUUUUAGAUGCUUGCAUCUGAAACUUAGUGGCGGACGGGUGAGUAACACGUGAGCAACCUGCCUUCCAGAGGGGGAUAACGUUUGGAAACGAACGCUAAUACCGCAUAACAUAUAUUUAUCACAUGGUAGAUAUAUCAAAGGAGCAAUCCGCUGGGAGAUGGGCUCGCGUCCGAUUAGAUAGUUGGCGGGGUAACGGCCCACCAAGUCAACGAUCGGUAGCCGGACUGAGAGGUUGAACGGCCACAUUGGGACUGAGACACGGCCCAG
rnacentral:rRNA from 1 species